UACGGGGGGGGGCAAGCGUUGUUCGGAAUUACUGGGCGUAAAGGGCUCGUAGGCGGCCAACUAAGUCGGAUGUGAAAUCCCCAGGCUCAACUUGGGAACUGCAUCCGAUACUGGAUGGCUUGAAUUCGGGAGAGGGAUGCAGAAUUCCAGGUGUAGCGGUGAAAUGCGUAGAUAUCUGGAGGAACACCGGUGGCGAAGGCGGCAUCCUGGACCGACACUGACGCUGAGGCGCGAAAGCUAGGGUAGCAAACGGGG
rnacentral:rRNA from 1 species